GGGCUUAGCUCAGUGGCAGAGUGCAGGCUUAGUUUGCCCGAGGUCCUGGGUUCAAUCCCCAGUAGUUCCA
rnacentral:tRNA from 1 species